rnacentral:rRNA from 2 species
AGGUGCGAUCAUACCAGUAUUAAAGCAAUGGAUCCCAUUUGAACUCCACAAUUAAGCGUGCUUGGGUGAAAGUAAUACUAAGAUGAGUGACCUCUUGAGAAGCCUUCGUGUUGCACCUU